ACCCGCAAGGGUGAGUGGCGGAUGGGUGAGUAACACGUAGGUAACCUGCCUUGGAGUGGGGGAUAACUCCGCGAAAGCGGGGCUAAUACCGCAUGAAGUUCUAGGGUUACGGGCCUUAGAACCAAAACCUGAGAGGGCGCUCUGAGAGGGGCCUGCGGUCGAUUAGCUAGUUGGUGGCGUAAAGUCCUACCAAGGCGGUCGUAAAUAGCCGGUUUGAGACGACCUUCGGCCACACUGGGAUUAUUAUCCUUCCCAGACUGAUACGGCANGCAUCAACUCGAGCAAGAUGGUACUCGANACCAUCCGGAGG
rnacentral:sRNA from 1 species